UACGUAGGGCGCAAGCGUUGUCCGGAAUUAUUGGGCGUAAAGAGCUCGUAGGCGGCUUGUCACGUCGGGUGUGAAAGCCCGGGGCUUAACCCCGGGUCUGCAUUCGAUACGGGCUAGCUAGAGUGUGGUAGGGGAGAUCGGAAUUCCUGGUGUAGCGGUGAAAUGCGCAGAUAUCAGGAGGAACACCAGCGGCGAAGGCGGCGCUCUGGGCCGGUACUGACACUGAGGAGCGAAAGCGUGGGGAUCAAACAGG
rnacentral:rRNA from 1 species